ACAGGUAGAAGUAGAAUAAAGUACAGGUAGAAGUAGAAUAAAGUACAGGUAGAAGUGGAUAAAAGUACAGGUAGAAGUGGAAUAAAGUACAGGUAGAAGUAGAAUAAAGUACAGGUAGAAGUAGAUAAAAGUACAGGUAGAAGUGGAAUAAAGUACAGGUAGAAGUAGAUAAAAGUACAGGUAGAAGUGGAAUAAAGUACAGGUAGAAGUGGAUAAAAGUACAGGUAGAAGUAGAAUAAAGUACAGGUAGAAGUAGAAUAAAGUACAGGUAGAAGUGGAAUAAAGUACAGGUAGAAGUGGAAUAAAGUACAGGUAGAAGUGGAUAAAAGUACAGGUAGAAGUGGAUAAAAGUACAGGUAGAAGUGGAAUAAAGUACAGGUAGAAGUGGAUAAAAGUACAGGUAGAAGUGGAAUAAAGUACAGGUAGAAGUGGAUAAAAGUACAGGUAGAAGUGGAUAAAAGUACAGGUAGAAGUGGAAUAAAGUACAGGUAGAAGUGGAUAAAAGUACAGGUAGAAGUGGAUAAAAGUACAGGUAGAAGUGGAUAAAAGUACAGGUAGAAGUGGAAUAAAGUACAGGUAGAAGUGGAUAAAAGUACAGGUAGAAGUAGAAUAAAGUACAGGUAGAAGUAGAAUAAAGUACAGGUAGAAGUAGAAUAAAGUACAGGUAGAAGUGGAAUAAAGUACAGGUAGAAGUAGAUAAAAGUACAGGUAGAAGUGGAAUAAAGUACAGGUAGAAGUGGAUAAAAGUACAGGUAGAAGUAGAAUAAAGUACAGGUAGAAGUAGAAUAAAGUACAGGUAGAAGUGGAUAAAAGUACAGGUAGAAGUGGAUAAAAGUACAGGUAGAAGUGGAUAAAAGUACAGGUAGAAGUGGAUAAAAGUACAGGUAGAAGUGGAUAAAAGUACAGGUAGAAGUAGAAUAAAGUACAGGUAGAAGUAGAAUAAAGUACAGGUAGAAGUAGAAUAAAGUACAGGUAGAAGUGGAAUAAAGUACAGGUAGAAGUGGAUAAAAGUACAGGUAGAAGUAGAAUAAAGUACAGGUAGAAGUGGAUAAAAGUACAGGUAGAAGUAGAAUAAAGUACAGGUAGAAGUGGAUAAAAGUACAGGUAGAAGUAGAAUAAAGUACAGGUAGAAGUAGAAUAAAGUACAGGUAGAAGUGGAAUAAAGUACAGGUAGAAGUGGAAUAAAGUACAGGUAGAAGUGGAUAAAAGUACAGGUAGAAGUAGAAUAAAGUACAGGUAGAAGUGGAUAAAAGUACAGGUAGAAGUAGAAUAAAGUACAGGUAGAAGUAGAAUAAAGUACAGGUAGAAGUAGAAUAAAGUACAGGUAGAAGUGGAUAAAAGUACAGGUAGAAGUGGAUAAAAGUACAGGUAGAAGUGGAUAAAAGUACAGGUAGAAGUGGAUAAAAGUACAGGUAGAAGUAGAAUAAAGUACAGGUAGAAGUAGAAUAAAGUACAGGUAGAAGUAGAAUAAAGUACAGGUAGAAGUGGAUAAAAGUACAGGUAGAAGUGGAUAAAAGUACAGGUAGAAGUGGAUAAAAGUACAGGUAGAAGUAGAAUAAAGUACAGGUAGAAGUAGAAUAAAGUACAGGUAGAAGUAGAAUAAAGUACAGGUAGAAGUGGAUAUUAGUGAUCACUGAAGGAGGAGGAGCCCCUGCAGUGUUUCUUUGUGUUUCUUUAUUUAUUUUGUGAUUCUUUGGGUUUUUUGUUUUGUUUUAUUUGUUUUUUGCGUUUCUUUGAGCUUCUUGAACAAAAAGAUGUUGAACAUCUCAUGUGUCCUUCAGGGUUCUGGUGUUGGAUAAAGGAGAGAUGUGUGAGUUCGACUCUCCUUCCAGCCUCAUCAGUCAGCGAGGAGCCUUCUACCAGAUGGCCCGAGACGCCGGUCUGGUGUGAAGCCGGUUCUGACCGUCCAGCUAAGCCUCGUUUAGCUGCAGAGCUUCUGGGAUGAUGGGACCCAGCAGGUUGAUCAGAUGUUUGAGGUGCUGAUGAGACCAAGGUUUAGUUUGAGAUGUUCCACCUUCACCUCCGUCCUCAAGCAGCAGGUCCAUGCUGCCUGGUCGGAGCAGCUUCUCCCCAUCGACCCAAACACGUCUGCGUUCUGCAGCUUCCACCAGAUUCCCUGCAUCUCCCUGCCGUCUGACGUGGUGAAGGGGGAGAACGGAUCAGUGCUGGUUCUGAGGUCCAGACAGACAAACCUGGACCUGGAAGAACAUCACAUGUGCCAAAUACUCCCUUUAAAUCCUCCAUUUGUCCAGAAAUGCAGUUUUUAAACAUCAGUGGUGAUGAGAAGAAGACUGAGUCUUUCGGUCCCAUUUAAACAGACAGCACAUUAAAAUGUCUUUAAUUAAUGUUAUUAUUGGUCUGUAACAGUAGAAUACUCCAUCUACAGACAGCUUACAUAAAGCCUGGACAGCAGAUUGCUCAUAUUUACUGUCUUCAUCCAGCAGAAAUCACUGGUUUUAUUUUACAUCCCAUAAACACCAGCAGUCACCUCCAGACUGAGGAGUUCAGCUCCUGUCCAGGUUCUCACAUUGACUCUGAAAGGAUCCGUCAGUAAAGGCCGCUGGGUUCUUAACGGUCGGAUCAUUUCAGACACUACGUUUUGGGAGUAAAAAGGAAGGCAGAGCGUUGAACUCGUUGUUUAAACAUUUGUUUUCCAGGACGUUUGGUAUUUCUGUACUCAUAGAUCCGUUACAAUCUGCUGUCAGGUUUAAGGUACUGUAGACUUCAUAUUCUACCAUCACACACAGCAGACUCACCUGUCCAGCAGGUGUUUCAGUCGGACCAGAGGUCUGACCCUGUAGCUGCCGAAGCUAACUGACAUGUCUGAAUGUAAAGAACGUUUUUCUGUUCCGUCUUUAGCUCUCAGAGCGUCUUCAGGUGUUCCAGCAGCAAGUAAAGAAAACCACCACAAAAGCACAACCUGCUGUGGAAUCAGCUGAAGGGAUUCACUCGACUGUUAAUCUGAUUAUUUAUUGUGUUCUUGUUCUUUCUGCAACAGCUUUAAGUUGGUGUGUUCUUGCUGCUCAUUAUUUAGAGGCUUUAGUCUAUGAAAUGCUUUUGGAGCUGAAUUACUUUGAUUAUACAAAAGUUUAAUUCCAGGAAUUCUUCAGUUUCAGGAAAAUGAUCUUGAGUCUUAAAAGAAAACUUCAGACUUUCAGGACAAACUCAGUUCAGUUCUGGUACUUUUAUUUUUCAAUGUAAAGCUGCUGAAUGUGCAUUGGAUGGACGUUACUAUUCAGUUUUAUUGUCUGUUACGUAUCUUUCACUUGUUUACAGCCAAUCAAUUUUAGAAUACUUUUCUAAAGACUCUUCAGCUCCGACAGCAGUUUAAGUUGCCUUCAUGCUUCUCUCCAUCGCUGUAUUCAGAGUUUUCGUGUUUUUUUGAAUAAAGGUGCAAAAUGAAUGUUUUAAUUCAGAUCUGUUCCAAUUACACCCAGAAAUAAAUCCUCCUGUCUGUAAUGAGAACAGCUGACAUCAGAAAAAGAAUUUAUAUUUCCUGAUAAACACAAAUAGAAUUUAUGCUUGAAAUGAAAAGUACAUUUAAUGAGAUUAUCAUCAGAUUAUCUGAAGGUCAUUUUUCUAACUCCAGUAUUAGCGUCCAUUUAGAACCGUUUCAAAUUUGUUUUUACUGAAAGCUGUCGGAACUUUAUUCACAACAAACAUAUCAAUCCAAAGACUUCCUGCUGAAGAAAUAAACCUUUACAUUGAUAUACCAUAGACCUGUGUAGUGUGUGCAUACACACACACAUAUAUAUGCAGUUCAUGAUGUGAAGGUAUUGUCCGAUGAAUGUCACCAUCACCGUGUUUUCUGUUAACGCAAACCUUCAGAAUCAGAGUAAUCAUGUUCUGUUUAACUGAAUAAAAGUUUCUAUCAAACAUA